rnacentral:rRNA from 1 species
AUUGAACGCUGGCGGCAUGCUUUACACAUGCAAGUCGAACGGUAACAGGCCUUCGGGUGCUGACGAGUGGCGAACGGGUGAGUAAUGCAUCGGAACGUGCCCAGAGGUGGGGGAUAACGCAGCGAAAGCUGUGCUAAUACCGCAUGUGAUCUGAGGAUGAAAGCGGGGGACCAGGCAGCAAUGUUUGGCCUCGCGCCUUUGGAGCGGCCGAUGUCAGAUUAGGUAGUUGGUGGGGUAAAGGCCUACCAAGCCGACGAUCUGUAGCUGGUCUGAGAGGACGACCAGCCACACUGGGACUGAGACACGGCCCAGACUCCUACGGGAGGCAGCAGUGGGGAAUUUUGGACAAUGGGCGCAAGCCUGAUCCAGCAAUGCCGCGUGCGGGAAGAAGGCCUUCGGGUUGUAAACCGCUUUUGUACGGAACGAAAAGGCUCUGGCUAAUACCUGGGGCUGAUGACGGUACCGUAAGAAUAAGCACCGGCUAACUACGUA